CCCGAUCUACCCAGUGAAAAGCUCCAAUACUGUCAAUCAUUAGGAAAUUAACACCAAUUCCUUGAGCUUGCCUUUCCUUUUGAAGCUGGUAAUGCAAUGUCUUGAGAGUAGCAAGAAAUUCAAGAGUAUCAUAACAACGGAUAUAGAGAAAUCGUCUCAUGCAUUCUACAAAUAAUUCCUCAUCAUUUGAUUGAUUCUUAUUUGCCUGGAAAAUUCG
rnacentral:misc_RNA from 1 species